rnacentral:rRNA from 1 species
GACGAACGCUGGCGGCGUGCCUAAUACAUGCAAGUCGAACGCUGAAGAGAGGAGCUUGCUCUUCUUGGAUGAGUUGCGAACGGGUGAGUAACGCGUAGGUAACCUGCCUUGUAGCGGGGGAUAACUAUUGGAAACGAUAGCUAAUACCGCAUAACAAUGGAUGACACAUGUCAUUUAUUUGAAAGGGGCAAUUGCUCCACUACAAGAUGGACCUGCGUUGUAUUAGCUAGUAGGUGAGGUAAUGGCUCACCUAGGCGACGAUACAUAGCCGACCUGAGAGGGUGGUCGGCCAAACGGGGACUGAGACACGGCCCAGACUCCUACGGGAGGCAGCAGUAGGGAAUCUUCGGCAAUGGGGGCAACCCUGACCGAGCAACGCCGCGUGAGUGAAGAAGGUUUUCGGAUCGUAAAGAUCUGUUGUAAGUCAAGAACGGGUGUGAGAGUGGAAAGUUCACACUGUGACGGUAGCUUACCAGAAAGGGACGGCUAACUACGUG